GCUGGCGUAGCUCAGUUGGUAGAGCAGCUGAUUUGUAAUCAGCAGGUCGGGGGUUCAAAUCCCUUCGCCAGCUCCA
rnacentral:tRNA from 4 species